AACGAACGCUGGCGGCAUGCCUAACACAUGCAAGUCGAACGAGACCUUCGGGUCUAGUGGCGCACGUGUGCGUAACGCGUGGGAACCUGCCCUUAGGUUCGGAAUAACUCCCCGAAAGGGGUGCUAAUACCGGAUAAUGUCUUCGGACCAAAGAUUUAUCGCCUUUGGAUGGGCCCGCGUUGGAUUAGCUAGUUGGUAGGGUAAAAGCCUACCAAGGCGACGAUCCAUAGCUGGUCUGAGAGGAUGAUCAGCUACACUGGGACUGAGACACGGCCCAGAAUCCUACGGGAGGCAGCAGUGGGGAAUAUUGGACAAGGGGCGAAAGCCUGAUCCAGCAAGGCCGCGUGAGUGAUGAAGGGCUUAGGGUUGUAAAGCUCUUUUAGCCGGGAUGAUAAUGACAGUACCGGGAGAAUAAGCGCCGGCUAACUACGUG
rnacentral:rRNA from 1 species